ACGAACGCUGGCGGCGUGCCUAAUACAUGCAAGUCGAACGAGAGCGACCGGUGCUUGCACUGGUCAAUCUAGUGGCGAACGGGUGAGUAACACGUGGGUAACCUGCCCAUCAGAGGGGGAUAACAUCCGGAAACGGAUGCUAAAACCGCAUAGGUCUUCGAACCGCAUGGUUUGAAGAGGAAAAGAGGCGCAAGCUUCUGCUGAUGGAUGGACCCGCGGUGCAUUAGCUAGUUGGUGAGGUAACGGCUCACCAAGGCCGUGAUGCAUAGCCAACCUGAGAGGGUGAUCGGCCACAUUGGGACUGAGACACGGCCCAAACUCCUACGGGAGGCAGCAGUAGGGAAUCUUCCGCAAUGGACGCAAGUCUGACGGAGCAACGCCGCGUGAGUGAAGAAGGUUUUCGGAUCGUAAAACUCUGUUGUUAGAGAAGAACAAGUGCUAGAGUAACUGUUAGCGCCUUGACGGUAUCUAACCAGAAAGCCACGGCUAACUACGUG
rnacentral:rRNA from 1 species